UACGUAGGGUGCAAGCGUUAAUCGGAAUUACUGGGCGUAAAGCGUGCGCAGGCGGUUUUGUAAGUCUGGCGUGAAAUCCCCGGGCUCAACCUGGGAAUGGCGAUGGAGACUGCAAGGCUAGAGUUUGGCAGAGGGGGGUAGAAUUCCACGUGUAGCAGUGAAAUGCGUAGAGAUGUGGAGGAACACCGAUGGCGAAGGCAGCCCCCUGGGUCAAAACUGACGCUCAUGCACGAAAGCGUGGGGAGCAAACAGG
rnacentral:rRNA from 1 species